rnacentral:rRNA from 1 species
GAUCACCAUUUGGUGGGGUUGGGGUCACACCCGAAGUCGUAUUGGAGAAUUGAGCGGAACUACUUCCAUGUGCACUCUUUUAUCGGGUCAGGAAGCCCUGUUUUUAAGCAGGAAGACCUCUUCGUCAUCAUUAUUGGGGUAUGGGCCCUAAAUCAUUGA